rnacentral:rRNA from 1 species
UACAGAGGGGGCAAGCGUUGUUCGGAAUUACUGGGCGUAAAGGGCGCGUAGGCGGCCUGUUAAGUCGAACGUGAAAUCCCCGGGCUCAGCCCGGGAACUGCGUCCGAUACUGGCAGGCUUGAAUCCGGGAGAGGGAUGCGGAAUUCCAGGUGUAGCGGUGAAAUGCGUAGAUAUCAGGAGGAACACCCGUGGUGUAGACAGCUUUCUGGACCAUUUCUGACACUGAGACACGAAAGCGUGGGUAGCAAACAGG